rnacentral:tRNA from 1 species
UACAUCGGCUGUGAAUCGAACAAAGGCCGCUCGCGUUGCAGGCGAACACUCUACCACUGAGCUACACAUGC